UGUUUAUCCAUUCUAAUCUCACGAUGUCA
rnacentral:piRNA from 1 species